GCCGUCGUAGCUCAGUUGGUAGAGCGCAUCCAUGGUAAGGAUGAGGUCACCAGUUCAAUCCUGGUCGACGGCU
rnacentral:tRNA from 2 species